AUACGGAAGGUCCGGGCGUUAUCCGGAUUUAUUGGGUUUAAAGGGAGCGCAGGCGGAGAUGCAAGCGUGACGUCAAAUUUCGGGGCUCAACCCCGUCUCGCGUCGCGAACUGCGUCCCUUGGUUGCGGGAAGGGGAGGCGGAACUCGUGGUGUAGCGGUGAAAUGCAUAGAUAUCACGAAGAACUCCGAUCGCGAAGGCAGCCUUCCGGCCCGUCGACGACGCUCAUGCUCGAAGGUGCGGGUAUCAAACAGGAUUAGAUACCCUGGUAGUCCGCACAGUAAACGAUGGACACCCGCGGUUUGGCCUGUAUGGCUGAGCCGCCAAGCGAAAGCGUUAAGUGUCCCACCUGGGGAGUACGCCGGCAACGGUGAAACUCAAAUGAAUUGACGGGG
rnacentral:rRNA from 1 species